CUUGCUCUUGAUCCUACGUGCAACAUCUGUGGAAAUGGUGUGGAAAAUGAAUUCCAUGCAGUAGUUGAAUGUACUAGAAGCAGGGCUCUAAGACAUGAGAUGAGAGAGCUCUGGGCUCUUCCCUCCGAGCUAGCUUUCAGGUUUACCGGUACUGACUGGCUGCAGCAUCUGCUCGGCACUUGUUCUGAAGACAUGUAGGCGAAGAUCCUUCUUUUACUCUGGAGAUGCUGGCACCUGCGAGAUGAUUGCGUUCAUGGCAAAGGA
rnacentral:rRNA from 1 species